UACGUAGGUGGCGAGCGUUGUCCGGAUUUACUGGGCGUAAAGAGCGCGCAGGCGGUCGUACAAGUCGCGUGUGAAAGCCCCCGGCUCAACUGGGGAGGGUCACGCGAUACUGUUCGACUCGAAGGCAGGAGAGGGAAGCGGAAUUCCCGGUGUAGUGGUGAAAUGCGUAGAUAUCGGGAGGAACACCAGUGGCGAAGGCGGCUUCCUGGCCUGUUCUUGACGCUGAGGUGCGAAAGCUAGGGUAGCAAACGGG
rnacentral:rRNA from 1 species